rnacentral:tRNA from 1 species
GGGGUUGUAGCUCAGGGGUUGAGUUCUUGCCUCACAUGUAAGAGGCACUGGGUUCAAUCCUUAGGACCACA